UUUAGGUUUGAAAGAUGGGAAUAUUGUGCGCGUAGUGUGAAAAUGUGAGUGAAGUGAGUUUAUAUAGAAUUUUUUUUGCAAUGAUGACAAGGUAAAAGUACGCAGUCAUAGGGGAAAAUGUAAGAGUUUUUUAACCUAAUUCCAAGAAUUACGAAACCCAAUGUGUCAUGCUUUGAUCACACAUGCUUAGAAAGUGGGACAACUGUCACCACUUAAAACCACAUGAAAUCAA
rnacentral:lncRNA from 1 species